rnacentral:rRNA from 1 species
GUACACUCCUACGGGAGGCAGCAGUGGGGAAUUUUGGACAAUGGGCGAAAGCCUGAUCCAGCAAUGCCGCGUGAGUGAAGAAGGCCUUCGGGUUGUAAAGCUCUUUUGUCAGGGAAGAAACGGUGAAAGCUAAUAUCUUUUGCUAAUGACGGUACCUGAAGAAUAAGCACCGGCUAACUACGUGCCAGCAGCCGCGGUAAUACGUAGGGUGCAAGCGUUAAUCGGAAUUACUGGGCGUAAAGCGUGCGCAGGCGGUUUUGUAAGUCUGAUGUGAAAUCCCCGGGCUCAACCUGGGAAUUGCAUUGGGGGCUGCAAGGCUAGAAUCUGGCAGAGGGGGGUAGAAUUCCACGUGUAGCAGUGAAAUGCGUAGAUAUGUGGAGGAACACCGAUGGCGAAGGCAGCCCCCUGGGUCAAGAUUGACGCUCAUGCACGAAAGCGUGGGGAGCAAACAGGAUUAGAAACCCUAGUAGUCCCAUGA